CCAUAUUCCGUAGUCCUUUUAUCUUGUGCAACAUUUAAUAUCGAAACCUGCACUAACAAAAAUUAAAGCAAAAAAAUACGAGCAGAGUUUUUUUUUUACAUUUUUGACAUUUAUGAAAUAAAUAUGUAAAUUCAAAAUAACUUCAAAUAGUCCAAUCUGUAAUGUCUGCAUUUCUUUUUUGGUUCAGUCAUAUUAUUAGCUGAAGAAAUAAAAACUUUUAUUAACAAACAAUUUCGACAGCCCCUGUGAUAAAAAAAAAAACCAAUAAA